rnacentral:snoRNA from 1 species
CUAUGAAUACUAUCACUGUUCUUUUUUAAUAAUCAGGGCAGGCUAAACAUUUGCUAUAUUAAUACCAUACCUGUAUCCCCAAAUCCAAUUAAUUUAUAGGUCUGGUUUUACAAAUGCUUGUGAUACAC